rnacentral:lncRNA from 1 species
CACCCUUUUUCAGAUAAUGAAAAAUGAUUUCAUCACACAAUGAAUGUUCUUGACUAAAUUUAAAAUAUGUAUCUCAACUUGUAUCGAUGAAAAUAUAUUGGAUUGAAAGUUCCAAAAUAUAUAAACUAGGAAAAUUGAUACAUCCACUCAUGAAAUCAAAACAUAAGAAACUGAAAUGGGAAUCAUAUACCUCUUGAUCUGACUUUCAUUUUCAAAAGGUUGUUCUGAUUCGUGCAUGAAGCCGCAUCUGAAUGAUGAACCUUCCC